ensembl:antisense Gm16052 predicted gene 16052
UUUGUGUCUCCGCGGAGCGCAUGCCACCUCGGGGAAAACAACGAAUCUGAGUUAGAACGGGGAGAGAGAGACACUAGCGUGAGUUUUGUUAAUCUUUUAAAGCCUCCCGGUGAACCUAGAAACCCAAAAAUUAACUUGAACAGCAAAUGCUCUGGGGUUUAGAGAACGUUUGUUUCUUUGUCUUUUUCAUUGCCUCUUCCGUGCCAAAAACAAUCUGUUUGCUGGAGAACACAUCCGGAAAGAGCUGUUUUCCCCUGUUCAUCCAGUGAGAAGAUAUGUUUUCUCUCUACCAGUUAGAUUUCUUCUUUUGUCAGAAAGAAGAGCAUCUGUCCUCCAGGCUGGGCUUUGUCUCCGUUUGCUCUGGGACUGCACUAGCGCAGCAAGGCUACAUAAGGAGGCUUUUCAGCAGAGGAGCCUGGUGUUGAACUCGUGCCAUGGGGAAUGAAUUCUUCUAUAGACCCCUCGUCCUCUUCUGGAAGUUAAAGGGGGGCGAUUUGCAAAAAAA